rnacentral:rRNA from 1 species
GACGAACGCUGGCGGCGUGCUUAACACAUGCAAGUCGAACGGUAAGGGCGUGAUUUUGCGCGCUCCUGGUCUGGCGCAAAGGGGAGUGUCACGUGUGUGCCAUCUCCCUCGCAUUGGGGGAUAAUCAUUAAACAGGAGGUCUUAUAGCGGAUGAGAUCCUGCUGCGCGGUGUGGCCUCGUGGGAUUAGCUGGUUCGGGAUGGACUCGCGGCUUAUCAGCUCGUUGGUGGGGUAGUGGCUCACCAAGGCUCUGACGGGUAGCCGGCCUGAGAGGGUGACCGGCCACACUGGGACUGAGAUACGGCCCAGACUCCUACGGGAGGCAGCAGUGGGGAAUAUUGCACAAUGGGCGGAAGCCUGAUGCAGCAACGCCGCGUGCGGGAAGACGGCCUUCGGGUUGUAAACCGCUUUUGGCUGGGACGAAGCGAAAGUGACGGUAACGGGAGAAGAAGCACCGGCUAACUACGUG